rnacentral:lncRNA from 1 species
CUGAGAGAAGUCAUUUAUCACAGCAGUUAAAUACACACCCCAAAUCCAAUGCUCUGAACAAUCUGUGCUCAAGUCACUUGAGAACAUACAAGUUUGUAUUUGCCCAAGACUUUAUAAUUAUACGAUUACAUAGCAAAUCACCUCAAGUUAUUCCUCUCUUGUACAACAUAUACGUAUAUAAAAACACAGUUCUGAGAACAGAAGUUGCACUCCAUCUUCAGGCAAUUAUUUAGACUGACGUAUGUAAAAAGGCACCAGGGGACAGGAUUUCAGAUGUCCAUCAAAUCUUUCAGGAUUGGCAACACUGCACCAAGUAUGAAUAAGGAAACUAUACUUGUCUGCCUGUACUACUGCAAAGCAGUUCCAAGCCAAGCUCAGCUUGCUCUCCCACCAUCCUACCCAUUGCCUAACUACCGAGGUGGCCAAACAAUUUUCUUAUUGGCUCCAAUAUAUUUCAUUUUCUUCUCCUAGUCUCACUGCUCAUCUAAUUAUACAACUUCCUGUAAGAGUAUUAUUAUAGUCGAAGUACUUCUGUCACCAGUGAUAAAGAACUCCAUUGUUGAAGGAUACGAGAUUUGUUGUACAAGUGCUAAAACACAUUAUCAAGCUUUCUAGACAUGUAUCCAGCAGUCUGUGUCUGAACUGUUCAUAUAUAAAGUUAAGUUCUGAUAUGUCCUGAAAAAUGUCCACCUGCAAUUUACAUUUGAUUAGGCAGUUUCCGGCGACUUCCGGGUUGGCGCCUCUGGCAAUGGCGGAUUUCCUCCGAUCGGGAGGAAUCUGCUCCGUGGAAAAAAGGGUCUGAACCGCCACGGCGAGGCGGAGACCCAUCAAAAACCACAGGUGGGAGAAGCCUGUGGACGUGGGAUUCGGCUGGCACCUUUGCGCCCCCCCUACUCGCGGGGAAACCCGGUUUCGGGGAUCCGGAGCGACGUGGGGUGAGUGGUGCGGUGCUUUGAAUCAACUGCUUCUUUCACGGAGUGAAGCCGCAUUGCUGUUGCCGGAGAGCGCUGACUUUUUCCUGUGGACAAUUGGAUUUUAAAUAACUGCCUGUGAGUAGAACAGAAAAUUGGAUUAAGAAAUUUAUUUUAAUUUGGCACUGAAGCGGGAAGGUCUAAACAGGAAGUCCGCCUUUCCGCUUUUGUAGAUAGAUUAAAGCAAAGACACGGCAAGCUAGAGUUUAGAAAGUCGUCUGUAAAGGAUCAAUUUUCAUCAUUUAAAAUUACUGAACCCCCCUUGGAAGCAGGAGAAGAGGGGGGAACUUUUUCUGGACUGUUUAAACCUGCAGAAGAGAGAGUAAAGAAAAGCAUUUUUCCACCGUCUUGAACCUGGGAGCGGGGUGUCAGGACAGACGUCCUCGGGAAGUUCAUUGACUAUAGACAAACGUUUUUGACAGAUAGUUAAAAGAAGAGAAACAUAUUGAUUCCAUUGUUCCCCUUCGCAUCUAAAAGGAACAAAAUAUUGACAAAAUAUCUGAAAAAGGAAACUUUGUUGUUAGAUCUGCUUUUUUUAAAAAAAGAGAUGGAUACAAAUAGAAGCUUUUUCCCCUAGAGGGAGCUUG